UACAGGGGGUGCAAACGUUGCUCGGAAUCAUUGGGCGUAAAGCGCACGUAGGUGGUCGUUUAAGUUGGAUGUGAAAGCCCUCGGCUCAACUGAGGAAGUGCAUCCAAAACUGAUCGGCUAGAGUACGAAAGAGGGUCGUGGAAUUCCCGGUGUAGAGGUGAAAUUCGUAGAUAUCGGGAGGAACACCAGUGGCGAAGGCGGCGACCUGGUUCGAUACUGACGCUGAGGUGCGAAAGCGUGGGGAGCAAACAGG
rnacentral:rRNA from 1 species